rnacentral:rRNA from 1 species
UACGUAGGGGGGCAAGCGUUGUUCGGAAUUACUGGGCGUAAAGCGCGCGUAGGCGGUUUGGAAAGUCAGAUGUGAAAGCCCCGGGCUCAACUUGGGAACUGCAUUUGAUACUGCUAGACUAGAGUACAGAAGAGGUGACUGGAAUUCCCAGUGUAGCGGUGAAAUGCGUAGAUAUUGGGAGGAACACCAGAUGCGAAGGCGGGUCACUGGGCUGAUACUGACGCUGAAGUGCGAAAGUCAGGGGAGCGAACGGG